rnacentral:rRNA from 1 species
GACGAACGUUGGCGGCGUGCUUAAUACAUGCAAGUCAACUGAAGCAGUGGUAGCAAUAUCGCUGUGGAGGUGGCGCACGGGUGAGUAACACGUAGGUAAUCUGCCUUCAGGUCUGGCAUAACUCCGGGAAACCGGGGCUAAUAGCAGAUGAUGCAGCGGCUCGACAUCGAGACAGUUGUUAAAGCUAUGGCGCCUGAAGAUGAGCCUGCGUCUGAUUAGCUAGUUGGCGGGGUAACGGCCCACCAAGGCAACGAUCAGUAGCUGGUCUGAGAGGAUGAUCAGCCACAUUGGAACUGAGACACGGUCCAGACUCCUACGGGAGGCAGCAGUAAGGAAUAUUGCUCAAUGGGAGAAAUCCUGAAGCAGCAACGCCGCGUGAGGGACGAAGGGCUUUUGCUUGUAAACCUCUGUAGUGAGAGAAAAAAAUCCCAAUCUUUGGGACAUGAUGGUAUCUCAAAAGUAAGCCCCGGCUAACUACGUG